rnacentral:lncRNA from 1 species
UAUACCUAUGCAACAAACCUGCAUGUUCUGCACCCCAGAACUUAAAAUAUAAUGAAAAAAAUUUAACAAGAACAACAAGAAAAUUUGUUCUCUGCAUCAUUUUAACUUAAAAUAUCUAUUUUUAUGAAGUUCAUUACUGCCUUUUAAAUUGUUCAAAUAUAUUUUGGGACAUUUUGAAAAUUCCUUUCUGAAAGACUUCUGGUUUGAUGUGUUAAACUAGAGUCCCAGGUCUAGGUGCACUUUUUCACUAGGCUUGAGAAGGACAUAUUGUUCAACAUGAUUUAAAUUACUUGUGAGUAUACACAAAGAAAAACAAAACUAGUGUUUUCUGUUUAGUGCCUUUAUAUUCUCUUUUAAACCACUAUUAAAAACAAAAAGCAUGACAAUGUUUUCCAAUACUUAAAUUUUUAAUUCACAAAGUACUAUUUUAUUCAAUUUAACUGCAUAUUAGAUGUAUCUUUUGAGUUACAUGCAACAGAAAAUGUUUUUUAAACAUUCCUAUAUAGACAUUUUCUGUGCUAUUUACACAGUAUAGAAAGCCCUCAGUGAGAAUUUAGGCACACAUGCUUACAAAGGAAAACAUUAUAAUUAUUAGAAAGUAUGUCAAAACAAAUCCAUGAUCCUUCACUUAAAUAAAACUAAAGAUUAUGAUAUUUCUUUCUUUAAAAGCACAAAGACAGUUCAUAAAAUGCUAUAGUUAUAAACAUUAUGUGCUAUGAUUGUGCAGCAUUAAAUAGUAUUGUUACAUAUGUAAUAAAUCUAACAUUGUGCUACAUUAUUUUCUAAAGUAAAUUAAAAAUUAAAUAGCAAAAUCAGUUUUUAUAAACAAAGUUUUUGAACAUAAUAAGCCAACACAUAAAAAAUAAUAUACAUAGUUGUUGCAGGUUAAUCAUGUGAUUAAAAGUAAUUUUGACAAUGUUAUUCAUGAAUUAUCUUCACUGACUUCAUAAACAAAUUUUAUUGUAAAAGCAUAAUCACGCAUUCAUGAUUCACUGAGAAUCACACAGACAUUAUUAUUAUGACACAUGAAUCAGAAGAUAUGCAAGUCCAAAGAAUUCUCCGGUGCAUUCCAUAGGCCAGCAAAAACAUGACUUUGCCAGCUUCUCUUACAAUUUGUGAAUCAUACUUUUGAAUGCCAAUAAAUCUCAACCUAUUAGAUGCUUUUGGGAAUUAAUAAAACUUUAAGCUUACUAAACUGUCUCAUUAUAGGCAGUUUAUAGUGAGACUCACCUGACAUUUACUUAAAAUGGCUAUUUCCCUAUGUUUUCUAAAAAUGGCUAUUUCCCUGAAAGUUGAUUGUUUUAUUUUUAUUAUUAUUAUACUUUAAGUUUUAGGGUACAUGUGCACAAUGUGCAGGUUAGUUACAUAUGUAUACAUAUUUAUCAUUCACUUGUUGCAGAUGCUACUGCUGUGUCUAUGGCAGACUAUCCAUAAUGUACUUAAAUUCUCUCUGCAGGCUAAAUGUAUGACCAGAGAGUAUUUUCUGCCUGUUGUCCUGGGGAAAUCAUAAAUAGCACCUUCUUUCACUUUCAGUGGUUGGAUGAUAAAUUUUAUGGCCACCCUCCCAAUUUAUAAGUAAAAUUACAAAAAAAAAAAAAA